AUGAAACAGAAAUUACAAUUAUCACAGAUUCACAGAUCUAAAAGUAUUAUCACAGAUCUAAAAGUAUUAAAACAGAUCUAAAAGUAUUAUCACAGAUCUGACAAAGCCCUAAUGCAAGAAAUUAAAAUUGGUCCAUUCACAGAUCUGACAAAGCCCUAAUUAUCAAACAAAAAGCCCUAAUGUUGAUCCAUUCACAUAACAUUAAAAUAAUCACAAAACCAACACAGAUCUAAAAGUAUUAUCACAGAUCUAAAAGUAUUAUCACAGAUUCACAGAUCUAAAAGUAUUAUCACAAAUCUA
rnacentral:lncRNA from 1 species